rnacentral:ncRNA from 132 species
UACCUGGUUGAUCCUGCCAGUAGUCAUAUGCUUGUCUCAAAGAUUAAGC